CGGGACGUGGGAAAGCCUGGGAAUCCGCCUGCCUUGGGAGCAGGAGAGCGUCGGUUCGAAUCCGACCGUCCCGA
rnacentral:tRNA from 1 species